GGAGUGGGCCGGACGGUCGCCGAGCGCGCUUCGCGCUUGGAGGAAAGUCCGGACUGGACAGGGCACGGUGGUCGCUAACGGCGACGCGGCGUGAGCCGACGGAAAGUGCAACAGAGAGCAGACCGCCGAUGGCCGGUCGGGUGAGAUGGUCGGAAGGCGACUUUGUCCCCCGCCCGGCACAGGCAAGGGUGAAACGGUGCGGUAAGAGCGCACCGCGCGGCCGGUGACGGUCGCGGCACGGCAAACCCCACCGCCAGCAAGCCCAAAUAGGGGGCGAGGGUCGGCCCGGCCCGCGAUCAGCCCCGGGUAGGGUGCUCGAGCUCGUCGGCAACGGCGGGCCCAGAUGAAUGGCCGUCCACGACAGAAUCCGGCUUACAGGCCCACUCCGCCG
rnacentral:RNase_P_RNA from 1 species